CCGCCCGCGCCACCCCCGGCCCCCGUCACCCCUCCCCGCGCCCCGCUCCCCCCGCCCCCGCCCGCGCCGCCCCCGGCCCCCGUCACCCCUCCCCGCGCCCCGCACAGCCACACGCCCUCGCGGCCCGCCGAGCUCCUCCCCCGCGCGACUCGCGCCCUGCCGCGCCCGGCCCGCGGGGUGCCACUGCUGGGGUCCCCAUCUCCUGUUUAUUCGUGGCCCCCUCUCCCCGCACUCUCGGAGCAGCCCAGAUGGAGAACUUCCUCUCUGCACCUGGUCCGAGCUGUGCCAAGGUGGGAGAAAGGGAGGGGCGUCCGGGUGGGAGGAGGGGAUGCUGGUGAAAGAAAUGGGAAUUUAGGCCAAUUCAGAGAGCACAUGAAUAUAAUCGCUCAACGCGCGUAAUGAGCUCCUACUGUGGGCCUGGUCUAGCGCUGGGUGUUUGCCCGGAUGGGGGCGUCAUGGAGUUAAGACAUUCGUUCAAAGCGUUCAUUCACUCCUUCAUUCAUUCUCUACUGGGAGGGAGAGACGACCGGUACCCAACACUAGACCAACAGGAGGCAGAAUGGCAGGCAUCGACCGACGGUUAUGGGGGUUCUUCGCAGCACAUUUCAGAACCUUGAUAACCCCCCUCCCCCCAUCAGUUCUCCCCUUGCCAGUGGUAAAGGUAAAUCCCUGCCUCCUGGGCCUGAGGGAGACAGAGAGGCCAAGAAAUAGCCAGCCAUCCCCAGCCCCCAAAUACACACCAGCACAGGCAUAUACUUAGUGGACAUCUCCCCUAAUACUUGCAGGUACCAGGAUAUUAUUGUUACAUAUCUUAAUUAUUGACAGUCUAAUAAAUGUAAAAUGAUGGCUCGUGAACCUAAUAUCAUUUACCUAAGAGCUGAGGAGGUUGAACAUCCUUCAUAUGUUCAUUCCGCAUGGUGGUUUUGGUUUUUUUUUUUUCCGGAAAAAAAAAAAAAUGCCUGCUCAUGACUUGCCCCUUUUUCGCUUGAGUUGAAUUUUUCUUACUAAUUUUUAGGAGUCUUGUGUGUAUUAGAGACCACUUCUUUGCCAGUUAUAUCAGUUACAGAUAUUUUCUCCUGGUAUGCAACUUCUUCCCUCCCUUCCUUCCUUCCUCCCUCCCUCCUCUCCUUCUCUCUUUUCUCUCUCUCUCUCUCUCUGGCUUUUGAUGAAUAGCAGCAGUUUAUAAUUGCAAUGUAGUCAAAUGUAUCAAUCUCCAAUCUUUUGCCUUUAUGGUUAGUGCUUUCUGUGACUUGUCUGUUCCUAUGAAAGAUCAUAAAGAUAUUCUCUUUUUUCUGACAAGACUUAAAGUUUUUCCUUUAACGUUUAAGUCUCUCAACCACCUGGAACUGAUUUCUGUAUAGGAUGCAAAGCAGGGAUCCAACUUAAUUUUUUCCAUGUGGAUAAUGUGUUGUCUCCGUAAUAUUUGUUGACUUGCUCACCUGGUGGCUAACGUGCAGUGUCACCCCUGUCAUAUAUCAGUCUGCAUGUAAGCAGGAGUCUGGUUCUGGUCUCCCUGCUCUCUUUUGAUCUCAUUGCCCAACCCCUCUGCCAAUACCACACUGCUCUAAUUACAGUCGUUUAUUACGACUGUUUAUACCUUUCCCUCGUACAUUCUUUGGGUCUCAGUUCAAAUACCACUUCUUCCUUAGAGAUGCCUGAUCGAAUCCCCCAAUUUAAGUAGAUGUACAUUAUAUUCUAUUCAUGGCUUUUACUUCAGUUUGUAAUUAUACAUCCUGUAUGUUUAAUUGUUAAAUGGCUGAUUCUCACAUUAGUCUAGAUGUUCCAUUAUGGCAGAGAUGUUGUUUCUCCAGGGCUGAACACAGUGAGUGUCACACAGAGAACAUUCAAUAAAUAGAUAACAAAUGAAUGAAUGAAUUCCUCUCUGCCCUGCCACAUUUCGCACACUGCCUGGCACACGACAGAUGCUCCAGAAAUGCUCAAGAGAAGAACAGUCGUUUCUGUCAGUGUCCCCUUUUUUGCUUAAUUUGUCUUCAUAAAACAUGUCAGCAGAUGACAUACUAUGUAUAUUAUCUACUUGCUUACUCUUUCCCUCUACUACGAUGUAAGCUCCAUGAGGCCAAGACUUGCUGUGUUUUUGGUUUUGUUUUGUUUUUUUUUUAAGAUUCUAUUUAUUUAGUUGACAAGAGAGCAAGAGAGCACAAGCAGGGGGAGCAGCAGAGGGAGAAGGAGAAGCAGGCUCCCCCUGACCAAGGACCCUGAUGAGGGGCUCGAUCCCAGGACACUGGGAUCGUGCCCUGAGCCAAAGGCAGAUGCUUAACUGACUGAGCCACCCAGGUGCCCCGGGACUUGCUCUGUUUUAACUCCUGUUGUUUCCCAGGCCUCAGAAUAGUGCCUGGCAAUUGGUAGAUGCUCAAUAAAUAUUUAAUGAAUGAAUGAAUGGGUGAAUGAAGAAUGAACUUAAUUUUCUCCCUCCGGUUCAAUCAACUCUUUCUUUUUGGCUUUGGAAUCAUUGGGCACCUCCGUUUUUCCUGUGGCUCUCUGAGCAGUUGCCUCUACCCCCCAUUCCCCCUUCUCUUUUUCCCUCCGUGUGACCAGAGAGGUAGCAGCCCAUCCCCCUUUGUUACCCUUCUAGCAGGAUAAGAGGCAGGCAUUUGUCUGGGCUCCCAGUAAUUCUGAGAAGGCAAUGCUUGCCCUCUCUCCUCAGCACCCCUGCACACUCUAGAUGCGCCCCUUGCAUGCCCACGUUCUGCCUGGUUUGGCUCAUCUUUUACUCCUCUCCUGAAAUAGACCGUGAGCACACGUCUCACUCUCUACAUCUGCGGCUUGGUAAUAGGGCCUGGCAAAGAGGAGGCGCUCAGCAAGUGUUUGCUGAAAAAAGAAAGAAUGAGUAUCUGCUGUCACUGUUUUAGGAUGUAUGAGACUCUGCCCCAUAAGACAGCUUCUCAAGAGAGGGGCCAGCCGCCCUCACUGCUGAGACUCCCUGGGGGGACUGAUGCUGUUGCCAAGUCAGAGCUCCCUGAGCCUUUGCUCUCUAAACAGUGUCUGGGCUGCUGUGGGCUUUUCAUUAGCUUUUUGACCUUGAAAAUGAUUUCUUCCCAUUUCGCCUCUGAACAAAUGACCACCUCUGAGGUUCUAGCUAUUAAGCCUACAUUGUGGUAGGUUGGAUAAUGACCUUCCCCAAACAGGCCCACAUCCUAAAUCCCAGAACCCAUGAAUGCUGCCUUAUGUGGCAGAAGGGGCUUUGUUGCUGUGAGUGACCUAAAGAUCUUGAGAGGGGGAGACUAUCCUGGGUUGUCCGGCUGGGCCCACUGUAAUCACAAUAUUCCGUACAAGAGGGACGCCGGAGGAGACCAGAAGGCAAUACGAUGCCCGACACAGCACGUGGAAUGACCAUCUUGAAGAUGGAGGGAGGGGCCACAAACCAAGGAAUGCAGGUAGCCACUGAAGCGGAAAACGGCAAGAGAAAGGAUUUCUCCUGAGAGCCUUUGGAAGAGACCAGCCCUGCCGAUACCUUGACGUUAGUCCGCUGUGAAACUGAUUUUACACUUCUGGCUUCCAAAACAAAACAGCUUUCCUGGGAUUUGGAUCAGAAAAGCCAGGAAGUGCUCCUCCCCUCUGGUGCCUGAUGUUCUUGUUGCUCUGUGUGACUCCUUUCUCCUGCAAACCACCUCCCUCAGCAGCCUCCACGCUGCUGCUGGCCCUGUCCUCAGCUCGUUUUCCCUGCCAGGCCCCAUGAGCAGCCCAUCCACUCCAUCCCUUCCUCCUCAGCCUGGCUCUGGCCUGUCCUUUGGGCAUUGUGCACAAAUUCAUCCUGAACAAAGGGUCCCAGCAGCCCAGUCCAGGCUUGGGGAUUGUCCUCAGCUUGACUGGGCUGAGCGUUAUGAGAGAACACUGACGGAACACCUCACCCACUCCAAGCACCCAAUGCCAUGACCAAGGUAAAACCUUGCUUGAAUUGGAGUUUCCUUGGUUUUCCUCUUCAAGGAUUUUAAGCUAGAGUGUAUUGAUACCACCUGAUCAGAAUUCCCUACUGUGCCCUACAGGUGGGCAGAGAGUGAUAGUAACACUUUGCUUUCUGGAUCAGCUUCAACCUCGAUUUGUAUAACAGAAAUAUGGCAUGGGAGACCUUGCACGCACCUGGUAAUCGGGGGCUGACAUGGGCUGAUGGAGUAAGACUGUAUAAAGAACCGAGCUGCUGCAACUACUGAGAACCCACUGUAUCCACGUUGGGCCACAGAGGCUGCCCUUUCCUACCACAUUAGGAGGAUUGGAGCUGGGACCCAAGAAGCUGAUGCCUCUGUCUUCUUACCUGUUUCGGGGAUGAAAGAGACUGUAGCCUGAAAGCCUCUGAAGGUCACAUUGUCAUCCGACUGGAAGCUGAUGAGCAUUACACCAGAAGAGCUCAGCACGGGGGCGGGGGUAACAAAGCCACACAACCGAGCUGGGUAAAGCCCAGCCCAGGCAAGACGCGGUCGAGGGCCCAGCAAAUAGACGUGACAUUGGAGAGAGAGAAAAAAAGUUGUCCUUUAGGCAACUGUUGAGAAAUAAACUUUUUUGUUGGGUGUCCCAAUUCGUUUUCAAAAUAGAAGGGCAGUUUGCUUCUUUUUAAUAGGUAUUGACCUCCAGCAAUGCUUCAGUUCUGUUUAUCUCCCACACACUCCCACUGGGAACGCCCCUGAGGGAACUGGUUCGAGCCACAGGGCUUAUUU